rnacentral:rRNA from 1 species
CGAACGGGUGAGUAACACGUGGGUGAUCUGCCCUGCACUCUGGGAUAAGCCUGGGAAACUGGGUCUAAUACCGGAUAGUACCAUGCUUUAGUGUGUGUGGUGGAAAGUUUUUUCGGUGUAGGAUGAGCCCGCGGCCUAUCAGCUUGUUGGUGGGGUAAUGGCCUACCAAGGCGGCGACGGGUAGCCGGACUGAGAGGUUGGUCGGCCACAUUGGGACUGAGAUACGGCCCAG